rnacentral:rRNA from 1 species
GAUGAACGCUGGCGGCGUGCCUAAUACAUGCAAGUCGAGCGAACAGACGAGGAGCUUGCUCCUCUGACGUUAGCGGCGGACGGGUGAGUAACACGUGGAUAACCUACCUAUAAGACUGGGAUAACUUCGGGAAACCGGAGCUAAUACCGGAUAAUAUAUUGAACCGCAUGGUUCAAUAGUGAAAGACGGUUUUGCUUUCACUUAUAGAUGGAUCCGCGCCGCAUUAGCUAGUUGGUAAGGUAACGGCUUACCAAGGCAACGAUGCGUAGCCGACCUGAGAGGGUGAUCGGCCACACUGGAACUGAGACACGGUCCAGACUCCUACGGGAGGCAGCAGUAGGGAAUCUUCCGCAAUGGGCGAAAGCCUGACGGAGCAACGCCGCGUGAGUGAUGAAGGUCUUCGGAUCGUAAAACUCUGUUAUUAGGGAAGAACAAAUGUGUAAGUAACUAUGCACGGCUUGACGGUACCUAAUCAGAAAGCCACGGCUAACUACGUG